rnacentral:miRNA from 1 species
GCAGUGGGCAUCUGGCACUGCGGUUCCUGCAUGAAGACAGUGGCUGGUGGUGCCUGGGCCUACACCACCACUUCUGCCGUCACAGUCAAGUCUGCC